UGCGAACGGGUGAGUAACGCGUGAGUAACCUGCCUUUCAGUGGGGGACAACAGAGGGAAACUUCUGCUAAUACCGCAUAACGUGCCUUGGGGGCAUCCCUGGGGUACCAAAGAUUUAUUGCUGAAAGAUGGGCUUGCGUCUGAUUAGAUAGUUGGCGGGGUAACGGCCCACCAAGUCGACGAUCAGUAGCCGGUCUGAGAGGAUGAACGGCCACAUUGGGACUGAGAUACGGCCCAGACUCCUACGGAAGGCAGCAG
rnacentral:rRNA from 1 species